AUGGGAUUUUCCAGGCAAGAACACUGGAGUGGGUGGCCAUGCCCUCCUCUUAACAACAGCUGGUGUCACCCUAAUAUGUACAGUUUGACAGGAUUUUCUUUCACCUUGAAAAACUGCACAUGGAGGAGAGCUCCUUUGCCUGAUUCCUGCAGUCUGAACAUAUCCUACUGGGUAGAGGUAAAUUGCUUUUUUAUUCUGUAUUCUGUUAUAUUUUUGAAAAAUGAUUUUCAAAUCAGGGAUUUGAUUCCUCUCUUGGUAUUGAAAGAUCAUAAACAAAUACAUUUUUAUGUUAUUUUUCUUUAGUAAGCUUUAUGAUUUUAUCCCCAGCAACUGGACUAAUUCAAUAAGCAACAGACCGUAAGGCAGUAAAUGGAUACCCUAUUAAUUUUUAUUGCUAAAGUUUCUUUUAUGUACUAUUUGAUCUAAAGAUGUUAUUCACAUUUUUAUGGUGAUACUGGCAGACUGGAAAAAAACCUAACUCUAUAAUUCUUACUGAUGAAGUCUGGGUAUUUUUAACUCAGCGGCUCAAGGAAUGACAACAAUUCACAUCUCAGGAGCCAGUUCAUUAAGUGAAAGCCUGUGUGAAAAGGGAAGAGCAAAGAAGUUCGAGCAGGGUUUCGUUGCUCAAUCAAUAGAACACAGUCGGGAAGGUUUAACCACAGUGCUAGUAUCAGUUCACGACGCGAGGUUGGCGGAUGAUUCAUCCUUUUCUUUGUUCAUAUUCCAGACGGGAAACAUAGGCCUGACUUACCUCGAAAAUAGUUUCUUUAAAUCGCUUUGAUUCUGAGGUUGCACAAAAUUGGAGCUAAAACAGUCGACCAUUAAAACAGAAUGUUCAAAUUAAAAAAAAAAAAAAAUUAAGGAAAGGAAAGGAAAACAAGAAUGUACCUGGUUCCCAGAUGGACUGACAUUGCAUAGGUCCUGGUCUCCAAGACGAAUUUGCUUCUAACUAUGAAGAAGGAAAUGGCAACCCACUCCAGUGUUCUUGCCUGGAGAAUCCCAGGGACAGGGGAGCCUGGUGGGCUGCCGUCUCAGGGGUCGCAGAGUCGGACACAACUGAAGCGACUUAGCAGCAGCAGCAGCGUGAAGCUGUACUAACUGUUGAGUACAGCAAAGUCUCCCAGCCCAGACUCACCCUGGUUAACCCAGGUCUUGAAAUGCGUAUUCCCUCCUCUUUGAAGAAAAUCCUCCCAGGUGGCACUAGUGGUAAAGAAUCUGCCUGCCAACGCAGGAGACGCAGGAGACGCAGGAGACGCAGGAGACGCAGCUUCAAUCCCUGGGUUGAGACGGUCCCUGGAGGAGGCGUGGCAACCACUCCAGUGUUCUUGCCUGGAACAUUCCAUGGACAGAGGAGUCUGGCGGGGUAUAGUUCAUGAAGUUGCAAAGAGCUGGACACAACUGAGCACACACACACAACACAACACCUUUGAAAAAAUGUGUGUCCUACAGAGACAUGGAAGAAAUGCUGAAUCCAGUAUUAACACCGGAGUUUAGGCCAGGCCUUUCCAGGACUGUGUUUAUAGCAAUUUGACCAUCAUUUACUGAGAACUUAUAUUUAAACUUCAUGGAAAUACGAAUAAAUACAGUUAAUGCCCACUAGGAGCUUAAUAG
ensembl:lncRNA